rfam:Lepisosteus oculatus linkage group LG5, whole genome shotgun sequence.
GUCUGGAUGGCCAAGUGGUCUAAGGCACUGUGUUCAGGUUGUAGUCUCCCUUGGAGGUGUGGGUUCAAAUCCCACUCCUGACA